GAUGAAGAACGUAGUGAAAUGCGAUAAGUAAUGUGAAUUGCAGAAUUCAGUGAAUCAUCGAAUCUUUGAACGCACCUUGCACCCUUUGGUAUUCCGAAGGGUAUGCUCGUUUGAGUGUCAUUGUACUCUCACACUUCUGAUCCUUUGGAUUGGGAGCGGUGGACUUGGGUGUUGCUGCUUUACUGUGGCUCACCUCAAAUGCAUUCGUGCAACUCUUGGUUGGACAUAGUACGGCGUGAUAAGUAUCUUCGCCGGCACCUCGCAAGAGGGUGGCUGAUCAGGAGCUCUGUGCUUUCCAACUGUCUUCAGACAACAACUGACAACUUGACCUCAAAUCGAGUAGGACCACCCGCUGAACUUAAGCAUAUCAAUAAGCGGAGGA
rnacentral:misc_RNA from 1 species